AACGAACGCUGGCGGCAGGCUUAACACAUGCAAGUCGAGCGCGUAGCAAUACGAGCGGCAGACGGGUGAGUAACGCGUGGGAAUCUACCCUUUUCUACGGAAUAACGCAGGGAAACUUGUGCUAAUACCGUAUACGCCCUUCGGGGGAAAGAUUUAUCGGAGAAGGAUGAGCCCGCGUUGGAUUAGCUAGUUGGUGGGGUAAAGGCCUACCAAGGCGACGAUCCAUAGCUGGUCUGAGAGGAUGAUCAGCCACAUUGGGACUGAGACACGGCCCAAACUCCUACGGGAGGCAGCAGUGGGGAAUAUUGGACAAUGGGCGCAAGCCUGAUCCAGCCAUGCCGCGUGCGGGAAGAAGGCCUUCGGGUUGUAAACCGCUUU
rnacentral:rRNA from 1 species